AUGGGCAGGACGAGGAGGAGCGCGGGGAGCUCUGCCCUCGGAGCAGGGCGCCCGCUGGCUGCCGCGGCUGCGGCUGCUGCUGCCUGGGGAGCGGGCGGGUUUGCUGCGAGCUCCAAAUGUUGCUCCCGUCUCCCCGCUCCCAAGGAGCAGCUGGGCAAGCCGGCCGCACCUGGCCCCAUUAGCAUAUUUCCAAUUAAAUGGCCCCUCAGCCGGGCAGGAGUGCCAAGCGCAAGCGGGCGGCCGCGCGGCCAGGCUGGCUGCAGCGGGGAGCGGGGCCAGCGCGGGGAUCCCUGCCGAGGCUGCGCCCGGCGCUCGGGAUCGCUCGCUCCCAUGGGACGGUGCACAAGCGGUGCUGGACUUGCAGGCGCUUCCCGCCCGCACUCGGCUCGGCUCGGCUGGGCACCGCCGGCCGGCUCCCCUCCCAGGCUUGGGGAGCCGGGCAGCACCCGGCCGGCUGCAGAGCAUCUCUGCCGCGGCUCGGGAAAGGGCAGCUUGCAACGGCGCGGGUUUCUCCAAAAAGGCCUCACAUUUCCUAAAAAAAUAACUCCAAACCAAAAUACCAGCAAUCUGCAAUGCCUUAUGCCAUCCGUCCCGGUGCGAAACUCCUGCAGCCAGCGCAGAGCACCGUGUGCGAGGCCGGGAAAGCGGCUCUCGGCGGCGGCACCGCUGCAAGGCGAGCUGGGCGGCUGGCUCCCGGGGCCGGCCCCGGUGGUGCCCUGCCAGCCGUCGCGUCUCCUGCGGCACGCUGCCUCUCCCCCGGCGUUGGGGGUCCUUCCCGCCGAGGUUCGUGAAGGGUUAACGCUCGCUCUGCCUUCCUGGGAACAGCGGGGUGCCGGCCAGGGAGCAGGAGCCCCGGGGGGGCCGAGGGGAGGGAGGUGGCCCAGAGCCCCCCGGAGCAGAGGGAGCUCCCGGCCUGGAUCCGGCGGAUAUAAAGCAGCUCGGCUUCGGCGGCGGAAGCCAGCGGCAGGACGCCAGGGCGGUGGGACCCCAGGGCUGCAAGGCCCCAAAACUGGAGCGCCUGGAAAUUUGGAAGAUUCACAGCGCAGAGACUGA
rnacentral:lncRNA from 1 species